rnacentral:rRNA from 1 species
UACGAAGGGGGCUAGCGUUGUUCGGAAUUACUGGGCGUAAAGGGCGCGUAGGCGGUGUGUCAAGUCAGGCGUGAAAGCCCCGGGCUCAACCUGGGAACCGCGCUUGAGACUGGCACGCUCGAGUUCGGGAGAGGAUGGUGGAAUUCCCGGUGUAGUGGUGAAAUGCGUAGAUAUCGGGAGGAACACCAGUGGCGAAGGCGACUACCUGGCCUGUUCUUGACGCUGAGGCGCGAAAGCUAGGGGAGCAAACGGG